rnacentral:rRNA from 1 species
CCUACGGGAGGCAGCAGUAGGGAAUCUUCCACAAUGGGCGAAAGCCUGAUGGAGCAACGCCGCGUGGGUGAAGAAGGUCUUCGGAUCGUAAAACCCUGUUGUUAGAGAAGCAAGUGCGUGAGAGUAACUGUUCACGUUUCGACGGUAUCUAACCAGAAAGCCACGGCUAACUACGUGCCAGCAGCCGCGGUAAUACGUAGGUGGCAAGCGUUAUCCGGUUUUAUUGGGCGUAAAGGGAGCGCAGGCGGUCUUUUAAGUCUGAUGUGAAAGCCUUCGGCUUAACCGGAGUAGUGCAUUGGAAACUGGGAGACGUGAGUGCAGAAGAGGAGAGUGGAAAGCCAUGUGUAGCGGUGAAAUGCGUAGAUAUAUGGAAGAACACCAGUGGCGAAAGCGGCUCUCUGGUCGGUAACUGACGCUGAGGUUCGAAAGCGUGGGUAGCAAACAGGAUUAGAUACCCUAGUAGUC